GCUUACGGCCAUACCACCACCUUAGGCACGCCCGAUCUCGUCUGAUCUCGGAAGCUAAGCAGGGUCGGGCCUGGUUAGUACUUGGAUGGGUGACCGCCUGGGAAUACCAGGUGCUGUAAGCA
ensembl:rRNA 5S_rRNA 5S ribosomal RNA